UUCAUACCUAGUUUAACAGCUGUUUAAAAGUAAUUUUAAGCAUGUCUACUCUAGUCGUCUAGUUUAUGAUUGAUUUUUUUUUUUCAGCUACAGGAAUUAGCCAGCUGCUUAUGCGACUUAUUGGAAGACUCUAUAAACCAUAAGAAGAAAAAAGUGCAAGAGUACUCCAUCAGGUUUAUCACAGUGAUCUAUUUGCCUGCAAACAGUGCCUGAAGAGUUAAUCCUGAGAAUUGGCACAAAAAUUGUCAUUACCAUCUAGCAGUUCUUCACUAUCCAGUUCAGAACACAAAAAGGCAUAAAUUAAAUUAUACUAAGAAGAAAAAUUAAUAAAUUAAAAUAUAAUUAAUCUACUUUUCCUUUCAGGGUUGUCUGUUUGGAAAUCGUGAUAGGAACUAAAAAAAAGUCAACGACCGACAUUGGCGCGAAUCCUGGUUCAUUGGCAAACUAUUGACACUAUAUAUCUUACAUUAAUUCCUCAUCCAAAUGUUCUUCAUCGUCGAGUGAAGAAAAAGGGGAGAAUGCCAAAUCGGUGCAAGACUGGAUACUAAAAAACUUCGUCCCAUCGAAAACGAGCAGCCGAAUCGGUGAACGAGGUGUUAGAAGAAAAAAAUAGCUCGCGCGUGUCGAGCUAGGCAUAGAACUAAUCCUAAUUGCAUCUGCCACUCCUGAAUCCUGAUGCCACCGUCUAAAAAAAUCGUUCUAACUACCAACGUCAACUAACAAAUCACAAUUUCUACUCCACCGUUGAUCAGCGAAAAAGAAGAGGAAAAGUCGUUGACAAAACCCAGGCAACGACCAGAGUCAACCACGGCACCACGCAAAAUAAAGAAAACUUCCCGGGUCAUAUGCUAUUUUGAUUUUUUUAGCCGAAGAGAGGUGGCAGGUAAUAUGGGUGAGACGUCUCGCGGAGACCAUGUUGCAGACCAUGUUGGUCUGAGGAAACGUGAAAGUCGUGCAGCCUACCGUCAACUAUUUUGUUCAAACUGAUUGUAUUCUACUGAAUGUGCCAUCGAAAUGAUACAGCUGUUUGAUUGGAAUUGCUAUCUCACCACCCCAGCAUAGACCAAUCUCUCAUUUCAUCUUCUCGAGAGAAGAUUGGAUAACUGAUCGGUGGUUUCAUGUGUUCUGAACUCCAGGUUUCUAAAUUUGCAUGGAAGACUUUAUGAGAAGUCAUGUCUUUUCAAGAAAAGGACAAGGACAGUCAACAAGGUCCCUUGUUUACUACCCUUGAAUCUCCUUUAUUUACUUCUUUACACGGGACCUCAUGAUUUGAGAGUAAUCCUUCGCUUCUGAUCAUGGACUUCAUCCACUGGUGAAAACCGACAAGUGAAUGCUGUAAUUCAAGACUGAUAAAUUGUGUAGUUAAUUAGAUAAAAUUAUCAGUGCAUAUCUGGGCUCCCUUCUUUUCUGUGGCCCCGU